UACAGCGAAACUGCGAAUGGCUCAUUAUAUAAGUUAUCGUUUAUUUGAUAGUACCUUACUACUUGGAUAACCGUGGUAAUUCUAGAGCUAAUACAUGCUGAAAAUCCCGACUUCGGAAGGGAGGUAUUUAUUAGAUUAAAAACCAAUGCCCUCUGGGCUCCUUGGUGAUUCAUAAUAACUUUUCGAAUCGCACGGCCUUGCGCCGGCGAUGGUUCAUUCAAAUUUCUUCCCUAUCAACUUUCGAUGUUUGGGUAUUGGCCAAACAUGGUCGCAACGGGUAACGGAGGGUUAGGGCUCGACCCCGGAGAAGGAGCCUGAGAAACGGCUACUACAUCCAAGGAAGGCAGCAGGCGCGCAAAUUACCCAAUCCCGAUUCGGGGAGGUAGUGACAAUAAAUACUGAUACAGGGCUCUUUUGGGUCUUGUAAUUGGAAUGAGUACAAUUUAAAUCUCUUAACGAGGAACAAUUGGAGGGCAAGUCUGGUGCCAGCAGCCGCGGUAAUUCCAGCUCCAAUAGCGUAUAUUAAAGUUGUUGUGGUUAAAAAGCUCGUAGUUGAACCUUGGGCCUGGCUGGCCGGUCCGCCUCACCGCGUGUACUGGUCCGGCCGGGCCUUUCCCUCUGUGGAACCUCAUGCCCUUCACUGGGUGUGGCGGGGAAACAGGACUUUUACUUUGAAAAAAUUAGAGUGCUCCAGGCAGGCCUAUGCUCGAAUACAUUAGCAUGGAAUAAUAAAAUAGGACGCGUGGUUCUAUUUUGUUGGUUUCUAGGACCGCCGUAAUGAUUAAUAGGGACAGUCGGGGGCAUCAGUAUUCAAUUGUCAGAGGUGAAAUUCUUAGAUUUAUUGAAGACUAACUACUGCGAAAGCAUUUGCCAAGGAUGUUUUCAUUAAUCAGGAACGAAAGUUAGGGGAUCGAAGACGAUCAGAUACCGUCGUAGUCUUAACCAUAAACUAUGCCGACUAGGGAUCGGACGAUGUUAUUUUUUGACGCGUUCGGCACCUUACGAGAAAUCAAAGUGCUUGGGCUCCAGGGGGAGUAUGGUCGCAAGGCUGAAACUUAAAGAAAUUGACGGAAGGGCACCACCAGGGGUGGAGCCUGCGGCUUAAUUUGACUCAACACGGGGAAACUCACCAGGUCCAGACACAAUGAGGAUUGACAGAUUGAGAGCUCUUUCUUGAUUUUGUGGGUGGUGGUGCAUGGCCGUUCUUAGUUGGUGGAGUGAUUUGUCUGCUUAAUUGCGAUAACGAACGAGACCUUAACCUGCUAAAUAGCCUGUAUUGCUUUGGCAGUACGCCGGCUUC
rnacentral:rRNA from 1 species